rnacentral:rRNA from 1 species
ACGAACGCUGGCGGCGUGCCUAAUACCUGCAAGUCGAACGAGAGCGACCGGUGCUUGCACUGGUCAAUCUAGUGGCGAACGGGUGAGUAACACGUGGGUAACCUGCCCAUCAGAGGGGGAUAACAUCCGGAAACGGAUGCUAAAACCGCGUAGGUCUUCGAACCGCAUGGUUUGAAGAGGAAAAGAGGCGCAAGCUUCUGCUGAUGGAUGGACCCGCGGUGCAUUAGCUAGUUGGUGAGGUAACGGCUCACCAAGGCCGUGAUGCAUAGCCGACCUGAGAGGGUGAUCGGCCACAUUGGGACUGAGACACGGCCCAAACUCCUACGGGAGGCAGCAGUAGGGAAUCUUCCGCAAUGGACGCAAGUCUGACGGAGCAACGCCGCGUGAGUGAAGAAGGUUUUCGGAUCGUAAAACUCUGUUGUUAGAGAAGAACAAGUGCUAGAGUAACUGUUAGCGCCUUGACGGUAUCUAACCAGAAAGCCACGGCUAACUACGUG